rnacentral:misc_RNA from 1 species
GGAAGGAAGAAAUGUCUGCGAGAGGAAAGCGAAAGGACGAGGAAGAUCACGCAUCCGAGGGAGAUGUUCCUCCUUCCAAGACAUUCAAGAAAGAUUCUGACGAUACCGAUGAAAUCGUAGUCUGCGAGAUUUCAAAGAACCGUAGGGUUAUGGUCAGGAACUGGCAAGGAAAGAUUGUCGUCGAUAUUCGUGAGUUUUAUGUCAAAGAUGGC